UCGGGCCACGUCGACGGGUCGCGGCCGAGCGCCCACACGUUGACGAAGACCUGCGUGUCGCAGGGGAUGCCGUGGCCGAGGAGGGUGCAGGGCUUGAGGGACUUGUGCGGCACGAGGAAGGGGAGGGGAGGGUGCAGCCUCAGGGUUUCGUUGAUCACGCCCUUGAGGUAGGGGAGGUUGAUCACGUCCUUCUCCUCCAGGUACUCCUUGCUCGCCGCGAUGUUCUCGCGCACCUCCGCUUGCGCCUUCUUCAUCACCUCCGGGUGCUUGAUCAGCUCCGCCAUCGCCCACUCCAUCGUCCCCGCCGUCGUGUCGAUCCCCGCGAUGAAUAUUUCCUACCAACAAAAUUAAUUUACCAAAACAAAAAAAAAAAAAAAAAGAAGAACGAAGAAGAGAACAAAUUAAUUCAGAUUCAGCUACGUACACUCGAUGACAGGGUAUAUAUAUUAAGUUGAAAUCAAUUUUUUUUUUUUUUUUUUUUUUUUUUCUGAAAUCAGUAUCAAGGUUUUGGGACCUUAAUAUGUAUAUAUAUGGAAAGUGGCAGCUACUCAACGGCAUUAAUUAUUCUUUCCUUUUUUGGAGAUUCAGAACGAUGCAAACCCCAAGCACCAAACAAACUCAUCCCCUUUCCCCUUUAAUUAAAUGUUGUACCUUUUCCCUUUAAUUAAAUGUUGUACCCUCCUAUAGUCCUAUGGUCCAUCGAGUAUGUACACAAUGUAAGUACACACAGCCUUCGUAGUUGUGUACUUCACUACAAAGAUAGAUAGAUAGAUAGAUAUGUGCAAUGCAUUUCCAAUGGAAUAACAAUAUUGUCCGUAGCUAGUGUGAAGAUAUAUAUACAGAUCUAGAGAAAGUAAUUAGUAGUAAUAAUUAAUUAAGGAGUAGAGUAGAGUAGUAGAUAGUACGUACGUACUAGCUAAAACUACUUACCACCACCACCUUGACGAUGGUGUCGAAGGGCAACUUCUUGGGCUCCUCGACGCCGUCCCCUUCGAAAUCCAGCAACACGUCGAGCAAGUCCUUCUUCUUGUCGUCG
rnacentral:lncRNA from 1 species